rnacentral:rRNA from 1 species
AAACCAACAGGGAUUGCCUCAGUAGCGGCGAGUGAAGCGGCAAGAGCUCAGAUUUGAAAUCGCAGCGCAUGCUGCGAGUUGUAGAUUGCAGGUGGGAGAGUCUGCGUAGGCCGGUGUCGAAGUCCCUUGGAACAGGGCGCCACUGAGGGUGAGAGCCCCGUGCGAUGCCACGCUCUACGUUUUGUACUCCCCUCUGACGAGUCGAGUUGUUUGGGAAUGCAGCUCUAAGUGGGUGGUAAAUUCCAUCUAAGGCUAAAUACUGGCGAGAGACCGAUAGCGAACAAGUACUGUGAAGGAAAGAUGAAAAGCACUUUGAAAAGAGAGUGAAACAGCACGUGAAAUUGUUGAAAGGGAAGGGUAUUGGGCCCGACAUGGGAAUCGCGCACCGCUGCUCCUUGUGGGCGCGCUCUGGGCUUUUCCUGGGCCAGCAUCGGUUCUUGCUGCAGGAGAAGGGGCUGUGGAAUGUGGCUGCCGCGUCG